AGCAGGGGGAACAGCCGUAGCUCAGCGGAAGAGCAUCUGGUUGGCAUGCAGAAGGUCCCAGGUUCAGUCCCCAGUAUCUCCAGGUAAGGUUGGGAAUGUCGCCUGCCUGAAACCCUGGAGAACUGAUGCCAGUCACUGUCAACAAUAUUGAGCUGGAUGGACCAAAGGUGCAACACAACUUCCUUUGUUCCUGUGAUGAUCAACUGAUAUCAGGUGUAGGGCAGGUAAGUUGUGGAUUGUACAAAUAGCCUGGCAGGUCAGAUGGGGAGGCCCGAGGUGGCUAAUUGGGAUUAUGGGCUGGAGAUUUCCCAUCACUGGUGUACGCAAUAGAUGGGCGUGGUAUAAAGUAGCUUCUGCAGAUAAAGGGCAGGUGAAAGACCACAGAAGGAAGACACUCAGGGCUUUUCUUGCCAAUCAUAAGAACAUAAGAAAAUCCCUGCUGGAUAGACUAACAAACCCAUCUAGUCCAGCAGAUGCUCUCAGAUGUCUAUGGGAGCAUAUAAGGAGGACCUGAAUGCAACAGCACUUUCCCCAAAUGUACUUGCAAGCAACUGGUAUUCAAUAGCAUACUGCCUCUGAGAGCAGAAGAAAACAUAGUCAUAAUGGCUAGUAAACCCUGCUAGCUUUAUUCUCCAUGAAUUUGUCUAAUCUUCUUGAUUAGGCAAGGAUUGAACCACCUUCCAACGAGUAAAAGAAACUAGGCUUUCAGAAAUCCAGAAUUCUCUUUCUGCACAACUUACUGAAAAUAAUGGUGAGAUUUAACAACAGCUGCCUCGUACAUGCUCAUAUAAGUGGCCAGAUGUUUAGCAAUGCCGCACGUGUCAGAUGCAUGUAUAGUUUUAUUUUCGGCAAAAUUGGAGCUUGCCAUUUUCUGAACAAAAUAAUGACAUAUGCUAAACUCAAGGGAAUGCUGUUUUCUAGAGAUUCAUAAUUGGUGCCCAUCAGUGCUGUAACUGAGCAACCACCAAUUGUGCAUGAUGGUGUAACGGCCAACGUCUGUAACAUCUGGUUCAUAUUCUUCUUCAUAUUCUCAAAGGAUUUGUAAGCUCUGCAGUGUUUGGUUUAGUGGUUCGAGGCUUUCACUUAUUCAUUUAUUCACGAAUGCUUCCUCACCCAGCAUGACGCCCAGAGUUUGCCUUAGCAAAAGCAGAUCAAAGAAGUACAUUUUGUACUUGAACCUAAAGGUGGAGGCUCAUGAUGGUAAUUAACACCUGUGAAAGCUCACAUUUAAAUGAAGUCAAACCCUGCUUUGAGCCUGACUAGGCUCUAUGAUGGUUGUUGCUCCUUUCCAUGUGGUCUUGCUGCAUCAUGGGCAGCCUGGCGAAAGAGGACUCCCUUGUUCUGGUUCCCAAACCAUACUUUUAAAAAAUGGUUUAGAUUCUGGGAUAUCCUUCCCUCUCCUAUAUGUGAAGCAGCAGCCAUGAGCUGCUUCAGACAUAUUCUAAAAACUGAUCACUUUGACCUGGCCCUCCCUGACCCUAAGACUGGACCCAGUUUUAUGUACUUGAAUCGCCUGAAUUCCUGUUUUUAUAGGCUUUUAUGGGUUUGUCUUUUUCUUUGCUUUUUGCUUAUAAUUUUGUUUUAAUGAUAUUGUUUGUUUUUAUAUUUCACACUGCUUAGAGAUUUUGAGAACAUUAACUGGUUUAUGUAUAUGCUUUGUGAUAACCAAAUCCACCCAUACUACAUGGAACUUUAAUGUGCUGAGAUUGAAAACUGGGGAAGCAUAUUGGAGCUGGAAAUGUGUUGAGUGGGGGUAGGGGGAAAACCUACCUACCUCUAUCCCUUGGAGUCUUGCUAAUAGCAGUACAAUACACCCAUAGAUUAUAUUUACAGAAGAUGCCAGAGCAGGGUGCCGUGAAAGGGUGUGUGUGUGUAAUAUUCUAGAGCUGUUUUUGGUUGUACUGAAUAAUCCUGUCAGCGUUGCAGAGCCUACUGAUUUAAUGCAUCCUUACAAAAGUGGAUUAGAGAUCACAUAAAAAUUAUUUAGUAGCAUCAGAGGAGUGAAGGCUAUCGGCUGCCAUGAAUUAUCCACCUCUCUUAUCGAACAACGCCCCCUGAUCUUCACUGUAACAAAUUAUCAGUUCCAGAGCAUACUCACUGCCGUUGCCUGGCCAUGUCUAUACUUGCUUUUCAUGGGCUCAGACUUCCAGUUAACAAACUUUCCCUGAGCAAACAUUAGAAAUUUAUGUAAUUCGUACAUUCUGUCUAUUUUUAGCCUCUGAGUGGAAUCCAAGACUAUGGCUUUGGGGACCCCACUAGACCCCUAUUGGGGAAGCAAGAUUUGUUGGGCAUGCUAAUGGCAUGAGUCUUUCCAUCUGGUGCACAGGUUGCAUAUAUGUGUAAAUAAAACCAUACAUCUUAAAGAAAAGUCUCCAUUAACCUUCAUGCGUUGGGACCUGCUGGGAGACUGGCUGCACACAACAAUACCUUGGACUGUGCCACUGCCUAAGCUUGCAGCAAGAUGUGCUGUGGCUAUUGAAAUAAGUACCUGCUGGUGACCACAUGCUCCUAUCCCAAAGAACCCACAGGACAUCUGGGUGGCAUGUGUUGCACUAGAGAACCAUGGAUGAAGCUUUAGAAAUGUUGCUUACAGUCUACUGAGUAGCUCAAAGAGAUCUGAGCUUAGAAGCCAAAAACCAUCUGUGGAAACAGAUCCAAAAUACUCUCUCUCUCUCUCUCUCUCUCUCUCUCUCUCUCUCUCUCUCUUUCUCUCUCUCUGUGUGUCUCCCCACCCAUCUCCCCACCCCCCCACACUCACUCUCAUCUGGAGAAAAUAUUUGGUUCUCUGGGACAACAAGGUAACUUGGUAUCUGUGUAUCUCGUUUAAUGGGAGUUUUUGCUCUUGUUCUAAAUAACCUUCUGCUUCAGUUAAGGGUUUCCUUUCCCCUUCAGAAUAUGUUCCAAGCAGUUUCUUGUUUGCUUUGUUUACUCUCCUACUUGUUCUAGGAUCACAGCAGCUUCUUGUCCCUGAUGGAAUUGCUCAGCUUCAGAUCAACAAAUAACAAGGGGAGAGAGAGAGCGUGGGAGGGAGAUGAGGAGGAACAUUGGUGUGUUCUCUGCUGAAUCUUUUUUUUUUUAAGAGUUAACAUUAAAUUGAUAGUGGCAGAGCUAGUGUAUCAACCAAAUAGACAUCUAGACACUGGCAUCCUUCUUUGCAUCUGUAUCUGGCUGUACUUUACGACUACCAAACACAAUGACCCCAUAUCGUAGUAGUCUAGCUGAUUACAGGUGAAGUUAGCCAAGUGCUGUGGAUUUUCCUGUGUUUUGUCUCAAGGAGACAGUUUACAGGGGGUUCAGUGUCAAUCUGGGGUUUCAUUGGGUCCUAGAUGGAUGGUAACCUAGGCUUCAUUGCUCUUCCUGUAUUCCCUUGCAUUGCAGCUAGGAACGUUACUGAGUCAUAAUUGUGGACUUUUUUGUGCAUGCAUCCUGCAACUGACUGAGCAACCCCAGAUGUCCUAUCUAUUGAACAUUCACCCUAGUUUGCUGACACAAAACUUACAUAGAGGUUAGAUUGUAUCCAGUCUUUACUGAGUCUUCAUUUUAAUAUAUUUAAUAUAUGCAUAUAGUUUUACUUCUAACAAUGUCUGCUUGCUUAUUAUGAUUGUUUUAAAAACAUUUUAGCAAUUCUCAUUUUUAUAUGUAAACCACCUUGAGUCCUGUCAGAAAAAAGCGAGGUAUAAAUAAACAUUAUAAUAAACAUAAUAAUUCAUUCUGAUUUGCUCGCUUGGUGGUUAUAUGACUUUCUAUUAACCAAUUCUUUAUGUCACACUUUUCAGUGCAUUUCCUCAUCACUUUUCAAACCACAAAAUGCCAAGGUGGGCUUUUUGUGUGUGUUUUUUAAAAGCAGUUUUGUUGCACUGGUGCUUUAAUUUUGCAAAGCUACAUUUCCUGGUAUGCACUUGAAUCCCUCCCACGGUCAGUUGGAGGUGUACCUCCUGCUUCCUUUGCUUCUUUCCCCAUUUGGGGCAACACAGUUAUUGCUUUGCUUUGUUGCUUAAUCUGUUGUUGGAAGCCUUUGAAGAUGGUAUGGAAACGGCAGCUGGUGCAGAAUUCAGGGGCCAGGUUGCUGACUGGGUCAAGAGAUAGUCUGAACACACAGAUGCAUGCCUCGUGCCAUCUCUAUCUGUUUUUAGGCACCAAGCAAAACUGUUCUCAUUCAUCCUGCCUUUGGAUCUUAAUUUCUAUUUAUCUUUUAGUAGGUGAGGUUGAAUUGGCUCUGCUUUAUACACAGUAUAGGUGUGUUUUAGGUUCCUUUACACUUGCUUUUAAUGUUCAUUUUGUAAGCUGCUUUGAGUUCACCUUUCUGAAAAAAGUGAUUAAGUAAUAAUAGUAGGGUAGUGGCCUAGAAGCUGGCCACUAGAGCAUCGUGUUCUGCAGAUGUUACUGUAGAUAUCAUAUUAGAUUUUGAACAGUUCUGGAGGCUGCAGAUGACUUAUGUACUUCUGCUUCAGCAAAGAUCAGCUCCAUUAACUCCUUCAUUUUACUCAGUUCUCUGCUUUAUUCACAGCUUCAAAGUCCAUGGAAGUAGGCACGUUUUGUGCAUUGCUCUGAAAUUAAAAAGGAUUAAAGCUGCACAUUUGAGCUGGUUAAAAUAAAUUGGUCUAUUAACAAGGUUCUGUGCAAGUUGAAACCGGGCCAAAAUGCUUAAGGACUGCUGCAGGUUUCCGGAGCCAAAACAUGGGUAGGGAGGUGUGCAUGAAUACAACACAACCACGCCAACAGUAUCUGUAAACUUAACUCUUACUUUUAUAGUAUAGCUACAAAGCCUAUCAUUGGGUAAGGUGUUCUUCAAAAUUCACAAGAUACAAAUGCAAGCUUCUCCAAAAAUAAUUUUGGCCUACAAAACAUACAUUCAAAUGAAGUUAUUAAAUACUUUACAUACCUCCUUAAAGGAUUUCUUCACCUCUACUAGUGGGUGCCAGUGUGCAAUUGGUUUCCGUGGGUAAGCCAGCAUUUCAUUCCAGUGGUCUCGGCCUAGUCCCUCAGCAUUGUUUGCUACACGGCAAACCCCAAUAAUCUCAUUAUGGCCGACCCUGAAAGGGGGAACCACACACGGAACAUGUUUUAGACAUGCUUUCUUUUGCCACAGUGACACAUUUAAACCCGUCCCUUCUGCUUCUUCCACCCUUCUUGCUGAAGCUACAAAUGAGAACAGAAUUUUAAUACAGCAUGCCUCACAGGCAAAUCAGAGACAUGUCUGCAAAUGGGAUAAGGGCUGUCCCUGGUAAAUAGGGAGUGUAUGCUGUCAUUAUCAAGACUGAUCUCCAUGUGAAUCUUCAAGCAUGAACAUGAGCCUGUGAUUAAUGCUCCUGUCCCCAUCACCAAUGGACUUCACGACUUCAGAGGAAGCCAGAGUCAUGCUCUUUCCAGAGCCAAUUAAAUCCUAGGAACAUGCCCUGCUGACCCGAAGGGGAAAUACUCAGGAAGCAAGAAGUGCAACUUGAUAUUUCUAAUAACAUGACUUGUCUCUUGCACAACCCAGUCACGUAAUCAAGUGAGUCACACCAUGGAAACUCAAGAACGAGGAAAUGGCUCGAAUGGGAUUUAAGCAUUACAGAGAUUCCCUCCUACCGGUCGUAAUCCAUAACAGAGAUAAGCAGGCUGACUUGGUCCAUGUUCUCUGGAGGGAUAUCAAAGAUUAUUGCCUCAUUGUAGUUAGGAUUAAGUGUGUUUCUUUUAAUGGUGGUUUUCUUCUUCUUUAGCCUCCUUCCAUCACAGAGCAAGGACACCUUGACGUAAGGAUCUGGAGAGCAGGAGAAAGGGAAAAUGACAGCACUGAUGAAAGGCCUUUUCUCUUCCUCCCAGUAUCCAUGGGAUCCCUGCUGCUCACAUGACCAAAUGGGAUAUGGAACAUGUGGAAGCAGGAGUGGAAGAGAAGAAAGUCUCUUGGUUUGCAUGCACCUAGGCUCUGGGCAAAAAAACCACAUGGGAUCAUGGAUUGCCAUCACAAUCUCACUCCUUCUUCCACAUCUUCAGUAGUAUCAUGUUUGAUCAUUCAAACCCAACUAUGGUUAGUUAACAAUGAAAACUGUGCGCAAAAAAGUGGGGUCAGUGUUGGGAUACUGCCAGGGAGACAGAGGCAUCAGGCAGCCUACGUCGUCUCCGGACGAUCACCGGUCUCCCGUUGGAACAGCAUCAGUCAAUUAGCGACACAAGCCUCAGACAGAUUCCAAGACUCGUGCACACCCUUUUCAGCAGUCUCCACAAUGGAAGAUUCAAACAGAAGAGCAUAUUUACAGCUUUAUUCAGUGCUGGUCAGAACAAAGGAAAAACAUGACUGCUUGCAUCCGUGUCGAGGAAACAGCCAGAACAAAAGUCAUAUACAAAACGGAAGUUCCCAGCGAGAACAGUGCUGGGAGUAAACAGGCAUGUGACACACAACAAUCAUGCCUGACUCUUUUAAGGAGGAACGGAAACUAUAUCCUAACAUCCUCCCCCUUUCCGUGUAACCUGUAGUACCUGGUUCAACCCAAUUGCAACCUCUGAACAUAAACAUUAAGUUGUUCUCUGUUAACAACCUUAAACAACAGAUCAGCAGGAAUUUCAUUUCCUGGCAUGUAGGACACCUGAAUGAGUCCUUUCUGAAUAAACUCUCAUGCACGAUGUAACUAUAUCCUAACAGUCAGAACAUAACAUUACCUUUAUGUCAUAUUAUAAACUAAUAUCCUAUAAACUAACAGCAAGCUCAUUUUCUGAGUGUGGACCCACAACGAGACAAAGCAGCACUAUCUAUGCACAAUAUUAGGCUUGGGAAAAUGUACAGAUAUUUUGCAGGGGAGAAGAGGGGCUCACCAAAAUAGCCCAAUGAGGGGCUGAGCAUGCUCAGUGGCCACAGAAUGCUGAGUGACUAUUGGAGGGGAUGUGAGGAGAAUGGCAUAGAAUAUUUGCGGAAAGGAUGCAGCUGGUUGGCUGGCUGGAACCUGGAAGCUGAGGACUCCAAACCGCAGCACUUUGCUACAGGUCCAACAUGUAACAGUCUAGUGAUGAACACUUCCUCAGGUGUGCCAGAUUUCUUAAUUUGUCAGUUUUAGGGAUGUCAUAACUAUUGCUCCCAUGCUUUGCAGCAGGGAAGUGUUUACGGGGUGGGGUUGUUUUUUGAUUGUCAAACUCUUCUUUCUACAAAAUUCAAUGGACCUCAUUGAAUUACAUGGAAGACUAGAAAAGUAUGGGUUGGAACAUACAUAUUUUAUUUUAUUUUACUUUGGGGACAUUAAAUCAGCUGUCUGUCAAUCCAGAGACCAUUGGUGGUAUUCAAGUAAGUUGUACUCAGAGUAGACCUAUUGGAACUGAUGGAUCUAACAGUGGUGUCCAUUAACUUCAGUGGGUCUGCUCUUGAGUAAAACUUAAUUGAAUACCAUGCCAUGUAUGUAUGUAUGUAUGUAUAUGUGGGCCUGCUUUUCUGUAGGGAGGUAGUGAUUUUGUAAUUAUGCAGCUCUCCACCAGUCCAUUUACUAUUCUUUAAUAUGAGACAGGUGUUGGUCAUGCAUGAGCAUCCCUCCAGCUCUUUGGUUGCACACUUUCCUUGUGCACCGUGUCUGAUAAGCUAUAUGUCUGUGAACUAUUUUCAAGAAAUGAAUUCAUGUAAGGGGUUUUAGCAGCGCUUUUGUCAAUGGAAACAGAGGGGAAAGAGAAGGGAAAAUAAGGCAGCAAUACCUCCCUAGCUGCCCCGGAGAUUGACUUCGGCAAAUUGCUUCUGAGUUUCCAACAUAGUUCAAAUUCUAUGUAGGCUGCUGGAGAAAAUCGCUGCGUAUUUAGAAGUUCCAGUAACUAUAUAGGGCAUCACUGCUGAGCUACUGAGCUGUUUUCCCUCUGAACCAUGGAUUUGAAGUGAUUCAAUCUGCAUCAAAUGCCAUCUGAGCAGAAAUGUUUGUCUGCCCAAACAGUCUCUGCCGUUGCUGCUGUAGAUUAAAAUGUUUGCCAGCAAUACUCAAGACACUGAUAUGUGGAAACCUGGGCCAUUAAAAAUAGUUGUUAUGGCAGAAACUCAACUAUCUGCACAAUGAAAGUUCUCAAAAAGAAUUAUAUAUGUGUGUGUUUUUAUAUCAGCUCUAUCAUUUUCCAAAUAAUCCGUGUGGCAAAUCUACAGGGAACAGAAUUUGUGGAGAAGUUGCAGUGUUAAUCCAAAACAGCAAAAAAACAAAACAGAACAAAAGAGUCUUGUAGCACCAUGUAAGCCCAUGAAAUCUUAGGAAUUAGAAGAUGUGAUUAGUAAACCCAAUUUAUGCAAUCUCAGUUUGGGGUUAGCUGAGCUUCAAUCAGAUCUGCAAUCAGAUCAAUUGGAUUGACCAUUGGCUCACUAUUGGUUUGCUCCACAGCUGACUGGGAAAGUGGUGGAGGGUAUAGGAACACACAGUGCGAUCCUGCAAAAAUUAGCCACACCAUAAAUCUAUGGAAACCAGUGUGAAAUUAUUGUUUUAUCCUUUUUGUUUUUGUAAUUGUUGUUGUAUUAAUUCAUAGAGUGCUACCAACGUACACAAGGCAGGGCUCUGCCCCGAGGGCUUUCUGGCUAAAAUCUGACACUGUGGAAACAACAAGAAAUAGGGAGGGAGGUGGAGUGAAGGGGAAGAAUAAGAUAUUUCAGUUACACAUCGUUAGGUCUGGUUACAGUAGAGCAGCCAUUGCCAACCUGAUGCUUUCCCCAUGCUUUGGACUCCCAUCAGCCCCAUCUUUAAAGCCUGCCUAAUGCUCCCUCUUUCUCUACUUAGGUCUUGGAUUCUGACCUAGCUCUAGUGAUGCAGUCUCAGGCUUGCCAGAGCAACAAUGCUUUCAAGAACUUCCUCUGACCUGCUCCAGCCAAAAUCUUCAGUGCAUCAUACUAUUGUUUGUGUAUGGACGGGAAGGAAAUACUUCUGUUUUGUUGAUGGCUAGUUUGAAUGAAUGGUAUCCAUAUAACAAAGAAAUCCAUUGUCUGAUUAUUAAAGCAAGACAGUGGCACCAUUCCUAACUUGGAACUCCCUGCCUAUUGACUGUACUCUUUU